UACAGAGGGUGCGAGCGUUGUCCGGAAUCACUGGGCGUAAAGGGCGCGUAGGCGGCCUGAUAAGUCGGGGGUGAAAUCCUGUGGCUCAACCACAGGGCUGCCUCCGAGACUGUCGGGCUCGAGCACAGUAGAGGCAGGUGGAAUUUCCGGUGUAGCGGUGGAAUGCGUAGAGAUCGGGAAGAACAUCAGUGGCGAAGGCGGCCUGCUGGGCUGUUGCUGACGCUGAGGCGCGACAGCGUGGGGAGCAAACAGG
rnacentral:rRNA from 1 species